UCAGGAGCCCUGUCCCCGAGGUGGUCAACCAGCCCAGAUAACAGGUCUCAUCUGUCUGUGUUAGUGGAUCAGGAGCCCUGUCCCCGAGGUGGUCAACCAGCCCAGAUAACAGGCCUCAUCUGUCUGUGUUAGUGGAUCAGGAGCCCUGUCCCCGAGGUGGUCAACCAGCCCAGAUAACAGGUCUCAUCUGUCUGUGUUAGUGGAUCAGGAGCCCUGUCCCCGAGGUGGUCAACCAGCCCAGAUAACAGGUCUCAUCUGUCUGUGUUAGUGGAUCAGGAGCCCUGUCCCCGAGGUGGUCAACCAGCCCAGAUAACAGGUCUCAUCUGUCUGUGUUAGUGGAUCAGGAGCCACGGUUCAGGUAAUGUCUGUGGAGUAGGUCUACCGUGAACCAGAUAAACAAGCGCUGCCGGUAACCCGUCUGGUCCUCAAGCAUGAGGGACGUCAACAGAUUAGAUCACCACAGAUCAACCCCAGGAAGUCAAUUGGUCUGCCGGUGUUUAAAGUGCAGCCAAGCUGUGGUGUUGAACCAUACCUUCGC